rnacentral:rRNA from 1 species
GACGAACGCUGGCGGCGUGCUUAACACAUGCAAGUCGAACGAUGAAGCGGGUGCUUGCACUCGUGGAUUAGUGGCGAACGGGCGAGUAACACGUGAGUAACCUGUCCUUUUCUUUGGGAUAACGGCUGGAAACGGCUGCUAAUACUGGAUAUUCAGGCUGCAUCGCAUGGUGUGGUUUGGAUAGGUUUUUUCUGGGAUUGGGUGGGCUCGCGGCCUAUCAGCUUGUUGGUGGGGUGAUGGCUUACCAAGGCUUUGACGGGUAGCCGGCCUGAGAGGGUGGUCGGUCGCACUGGGACUGAGAUACGGCCCAGACUCCUACGGGAGGCAGCAGUGGGGAAUAUUGCACAAUGGACGAAAGUUUGAUGCAGCGACGCCGCGUGGAGGGUGUAGGCCUUCGGGUUGUGAACUCCUUUUUCUCGCGAAAAAGGCACAGUUUUGGCUGUGUUGAUGGUAGUGGGGGAAGAAGCGCCGGCUAACUACGUG